GUGCCAGCCGCCGCGGUAAUACGGAGGGUGCAAGCGUUGUUCGGAAUUAUUGGGCGUAAAGCGCGUGUAGGCGGCUAUUUAAGUCUGAUGUGAAAGCCCGGGGCUCAACCCCGGAGUUUGCACCUGAUACUGGAUGGCUUGAGUGCUGGAGAGGGCAGUGGAAUUCCUAGUGUAGCGGUGAAAUGCGUAGAUAUUAGGAGGAACACCAGUGGCGAAGGCGGCUUACUGGACUAUUACUGACGCUGAGGUA
rnacentral:rRNA from 1 species